GCGAAGAAUUCACCGACUUUACUGUGGUUUAACUUUGUAUACUUAAGCUUAUACAUGCACUGGAUCAUGUUAAUUAAACGACCCACGCGCGCUGAACAAAUGAAGUGAUGACGGUUUCCUUUACAAGUGUUUCCCUUUUAAAGUACCCGGCGAUUUGUGAUCUUUGAAGAACUGCUCCACUUCAGUGGCCAAUUCCUCGCUUGCGAAAUUCUCGGUUGUGAACUUGACGAGUCGCGCCAUGAGGAAACCACCCUGGUAGCGAUCGAUCAGAACCUUCCAGUUAUCUUUGAAGAACUGCCAGGCAAGUUUACGGCCCGGGGGUGUCAUCGCUACAGACAUGAUGACGAAAACUGUAUCCUGGGAUCUUACUUCCUCCUAAAAAUCAUAAACAAAUUACAAAUUUAUAUGACUUUCUAUUCUGUUAAAAAUAAAUUUAAGCACUUACAGACAUGGCAAA